AAGUAAUUUUGUGUAGAAAACCCCAGUGUAUAAGUCUUAAAGACCAAGCAAAGGCGUAGUAGGGUUUUUGUCUUCUCGAGUUGAGCUGCAAAAGGUUAAAGAAAUGGCUCAAUCCCUAGAAUUAUUGUUGAUUCAGUUCCUAAUGCCAGAUAACGACGCCCGACGGCAAGCGGAGGAGCAGAUAAAGAGGUUAGCAAAGGAUCCUCAGGUUGUUCCCGCUCUAAUUCAACAUCUCCGCACCGCCAAGACUCCCAACGUCCGCCAGCUGGCAGCCGUCCUCCUCCGCAAGAAGAUCACUGGACACUGGGCCAAACUUUCUCCUCAGCUCAAGCACCUCGUCAAGCAAUCUCUCAUUGAGAGCAUCACCAUUGAGCACAGUCCACCUGUGAGGCGUGCUAGUGCAAAUGUUGUGAGUAUAAUUGCCAAAUAUGCGGUACCAGCAGGUGAGUGGCCUGAGUUGUUGCCCUUCUUAUUCCAGUGUAGUCAGAGUGCACAAGAAGACCAUAGAGAAGUGGCAUUGAUCCUUUUUAGCUCUUUAACUGAAACAAUUGGAAGUGCAUUCCAACCACAUUUUGCUGAUUUGCAAGCUCUAUUACUCAAGUGCCUACAGGAUGAGACAAGCAAUCGUGUUAGAAUUGCUGCUUUAAAGGCAGUUGGAUCAUUUCUAGAAUUUACAAUUGAUGGGGCUGAAGUGGUGAAGUUUCGGGAGUUUAUUCCUAGUAUUUUAAAUGUGUCAAGACAAUGCCUGGCCUCUGGUGAAGAAGAUGUUGCUGUAAUUGCUUUUGAAAUUUUUGACGAGCUGAUUGAAUCUCCUGCACCUCUUCUUGGGGAUUCUGUCAGAUCCAUUGUGCAAUUCUCUCUUGAAGUUUGUUCAAGCCAAAAUCUGGAAUCCAAUACACGCCAUCAGGCAAUUCAGAUAAUUUCGUGGUUGGCUAAGUACAAAUCCAACUCAUUAAAAAAGCAUAAGCUGGUUGUCCCUAUUCUGCAAGUCAUGUGCCCAUUGCUUGCUGAAUCAAACAAUGCUGAUGAAGAUGAUGACCUUGCACCAGAUCGAGCUGCUGCAGAAGUUAUUGACACAAUGGCAUUGAGCCUCUCAAAGCAUGUGUUCCCCCCUGUUUUUGAAUUUGCUUCUUUAAGCAGUCAGAAUGCAAAUCCAAAGUAUCGAGAAGCUUCUGUCACAGCUUUAGGUGUCAUUUCAGAGGGCUGUGUGGAGUGGAUGAAAGAUAAGAUUGAACCUAUUCUCCAAAUUGUCUUGGCAGCUCUGAGGGAUCCAGAGCAGAUGGUUAGAGGAGCUGCCUCAUUUGCAUUGGGCCAGUUUGCUGAGCAUUUGCAGCCUGAAAUCAUAUCUCACUAUGAAACUGUUCUUCACUGCAUUUUGAAUGCCCUAGAGGAUGCAUCUGAAGAAGUAAAGGAAAAGUCAUACUAUGCGUUGGCAGCAUUUUGUGAGAACAUGGGAGAGGAGAUUCUUCCCUUUCUUGAUCCUUUGAUGGGGAAGCUACUUGCAGCUCUCCAAAAUAGUUCCCGCAAUUUGCAGGAGACUUGCAUGUCUGCAAUUGGUUCAGUGGCAGCUGCUGCAGAGCAUGCUUUCAUUCCAUAUGCUGAAAGGGUUCUGGAGUUACUGAAAACUUUCAUGGUGCUUACCCAUGAUGAGGACCUGCGUGCACGAGCAAGAGCUACAGAGCUCCUUGGAAUAGUUGCUAUGUCUGUUGGAAGAGAAAGAAUGGAACCGAUUUUGCCACCUUAUAUUGAAGCUGCAAUCUCUGGCUUUGGACUGGAAUUCAGUGAACUUCGGGAGUAUACUCAUGGAUUUUUUAGCAAUGUGGCAGAAAUACUGGAUGAUGGGUUUAAACAGUAUCUUCCUCAUGUUGUUCCCCUGGUAUUUUCUUCCUGUAAUCUUGAUGAUGGUUCUGCUGUGGAUAUCGACGAUUCUGAUGAUGAAAAUAUUAAUGGAUUUGGUGGAGUUUCAUCUGAUGAUGAAGCUCAUUAUGAGCCAAGAGUUCGGAAUAUCAGUAUUAGAACAGGUGUGUUAGAUGAGAAGGCAGCUGCAACUCAAGCUCUUGGUUUAUUUGCGCUGCAUACAAAGAGUUCUUAUGCACCCUAUUUGGAGGAGUCAUUAAAGAUUUUGGUGAGACAUUCAGGCUAUUUUCACGAAGAUGUUAGGCUUCAGGCUGUGAUUUCCUUAAAGCAUAUCUUGACGGCAGCACAUGCUAUCUUCCAGAGUCAUAAUGAAGGACCAGUGAAGGCAAGAGCUAUUCUUGAUACUGUGAUGAAUAUAUUUAUCAAGACUAUGACUGAAGAUGACGACAAAGAAGUUGUUGCUCAAGCCUGUAUGAGCAUUGUAGAGAUCAUCAAGGAUUAUGGCUACAUUGCUGUUGAGUCUUAUAUGUCUUCUUUGGUUGAUGCAACUCUGCGGCUGCUUCGGGAGGAAUCUACUUGUCAGCAAUCGGAUAAUGAUAGUGAUAUUGAUGACAGUGAUACUGAACAUGAUGAAGUGCUUAUGGAUGCAGUUUCUGACCUUCUUCCGGCGUUUGCAAAGUCAAUGGGUCCUCACUUUGCACCCAUAUUUGCAAAGCUAUUUGACCCUUUAAUGAAAUUCGCGAGAUCUUCACGUCCUCCACAAGAUCGGACCAUGGUGGUUGCUUGCCUUGCUGAAGUUGCUCAGGACAUGGGUGCUCCAAUUGCUGGCUAUGUUGAUAGGGUGAUGCCUUUGGUGCUCAAAGAACUAGCAUCAUCAGAAGCAACUAACAGGAGGAAUGCAGCAUUUUGUGCUGGGGAGUUGUGCAAAAAUGGGGGCGAGUUAAGUUUGAAAUACUACGGUGAUAUUUUGCGAGGACUUUACCCAUUAUUUGGGGACUCUGAGCCAGAUGAUGCUGUUAGAGAUAAUGCAGCUGGUGCUGUGGCAAGGAUGAUAAUUGUGCAUCCUCAAUCCGUCCCAUUGAAUCAGGUCCUUCCUGUUUUCCUGAAAGUUCUUCCUCUAAAGGAAGACCGUGAAGAAUCCAUGGCUGUUUAUAGUUGUGUUUCCUCUCUGGUUUUGCAAUCGAACCCUCAGAUCCUUUCUCUUGUUCCCGAGUUGGUCAAUAUUUUUGCCCAUGUCGUGGUUUCCCCAGAUGAAACUUCUGAAGUAAAGGUUCUAGUUGGCCGGACAUUUUCUCAUCUGAUUUCUCUCUAUGGCCAACAAAUUCAACCAUUGCUGAGUAGCCUGUCGCCGGCGCAUGCCAAUGCCCUAGCCACAUUUGCCCCCAAAAGCUGAUGUGUUAUUUAAUCGAACUUCUCUUCCCCAAUUUUGCUUUUCUUUUCUUCAAUGUGUGUCAAAGGAAUGGUUUGUUAGCGGUAAUUUGAUCAAAAAUCAGGUCUUUUGGGCCUUGGUUGUGUAUUGCUACCACCAGCUUUCUUGUGUGGAUUCGCUUCUUUAUCCUCAAAUUUAUAUUGGUAUUUACAGGUUUCGAUUAUCAAUAUUUGUUUUCUCAUGAUUUAUUUGUUUAUAUAUUUAUUUAUUUUUAUUGUUGGUUGUUUGAGAUUCAGCGCUGCUUCAAUUUGUUUUUUCAACUCCUAUAAUAAAUAGAUAGGUUAUUGAGUGAUAUACAAAUUAAAUUCUGUGCAA